rnacentral:lncRNA from 1 species
UAUUUUUAUGCUGAUUUUUCUUUGAGCUCACCAGUAUUAUUUUUGCUUUCAAUCUUCUAUUUCAUUUUCAUUGAAUUCUUAAUUUUGGAAAUUUCAGCUUUUAAGUUUUAGAAUGCCCAUUUGUUUGGAUUUGGAGAUUGAAAUCUUCCAGUGACAUUUUAAACUUUUACAUCUUUUUUUGUCCUGUGUUUAAAUAAUUGUUAAAUACAUAUAGAUAGUUGUUUUAAAGUCCCACUCUGGUAACCCAGAUAAGGGACAUUGUAUAUCGGAAUCUCUUAUUGGUGCCACCAUGCUUGACUUUUUUUUUUUCCCAUGACCUUCUGCUAGCUAGUUUCUGAUUCCUAAAAACUGGAGGACUUUGGGAGGUUUCAAUUCCCGCCCCCCCCCCACCCCAGAAUCUAUGGCCUGUCUCUGUUCUGUCUUCAAUUUAGCAAAUGACUAAAAAAAAUGAGUGAUAUUACCAUUCUAGUACACAUAAACAGUAAGAUUUUUCCAGUUUCUUUUUCCCUAAGGUCAGGAUCGGGUCUAUGAAAAACAGUAAGGAAACAACAGUUGCAGGUUGCUGAACUAUUCAUCCUACUUUGACAUUAAUGCAAUUUAGUUAUUAUUCCUUAUAUUUGUAUGAGUUAAAAACUGCAUUUUUUUCUUUUUUGAUUUAUCAUUACCAUGCUUUAUCUGGGAUGCAUAACUGUUAUCCAUUACUUUGUGUUACAAACAUUUACUUUCAUGAGGAUUUUUUAGAAUGUUUAUUUAAAAUUUUUGAUGUAUUAUUGAUUAUAUCAUAUGAAAUUAUUGAUUACACCAUGUAAUUACCACAUAUUGAUUUCAUCUGACACUUUUUGCCUGUGGCCCCACAUUAUCUGGUAGUUUCAAUGACCCCAUUUGGGAUUUGGGUAGUGAAGGGAAUAAUAGUAAGAUGCCUUCAUCCAUCUUUUUCUCCUUUGUGGAAAAACUUCUUCUUUUUGUAAUUGUGCAUUUUUACUAUUGUCAUCACUUUAUUAAUGUUUUCAUUCCCCUUAGUGUGUAAGAUCAUGAGAGUAGACAUGACUCUAUGAUUUGUACAAUUGUGAAUCUCCAGCAUUUAAGAUUUCCUAUUCAAUGUUAAGGAAAACAAAACUUCUUGAAUGAGUAAAAUUGCAAUUGAGAGUAUCCUUUUCCAUAUUCUGCACAUUAAGUGCCUAGUAAAGUUUAAUAUCUCCUGGAUCUCUGUAAUUUCUAAAACAUUACUUUCUUAUUUAAAAUGCAAUUUUUCUUUGAGGUUCAUUUGAUCAGUCAACUUUAUCUUCUUAUACUCUUUUUUUUUUUUUUUUUAAAUCAGGAAUUGAACCCACUGAGCCAUGUUCCCAGCCUUUUUAAUUUUUUAUUUAGACACAGGGUCUUGCUAAUUUUGCUGAGGAUCUUGUUAAAUUGCUGAGGCUGGCUUUGAACUUGUGAUCCUUCAGCCUUGGGCUCCUGAAAUGCUGGGAUUACAGGUGUGAGCCACUACACCUGGCAGGACCACUCAUUCUUGUCAUAGGUGAUCAUAAUGAGUCAAAGAAAGACUAGUGUUUUAUAUAAACCUAGAUAUGAGAGUGAAACCAGAAUGACAGGAUUUAUUUUGAAAGUACUGCAAGAUCAGAAAGUCUUAAAACUGGAUGCACAAAGGUUGGAUAUAGCAUUUCUGCCCCAGUAAUGUUACCAUAUUUUUUUUUGUUUUCUUUGUAUUUUUUCUGGUACUACUGUUUAUUGCAUUUAUAUUUUUAUAAAUUAAGAAUUAAAGAAUAAUAUAUGGACUUCAAUGUUGAAUAAUAUCUAUUUCUAGCUAAGUAAAUAAUUCACAUAGUUGAUAUCAUUACACAGGAAAAAUUCAAAUGUUCACAUUUUUAUUACUUUCUGACAUAUUUUCUGUAAUAUGGAUGUGUUGUUUUCUUACAGAUAAAAUAGUCAUACUUUAGCAAUCUUUGGUAAUUACCUGGCCAUAUUUUAUAAAUAUGCAUUUAUUAUUAGCAUUCUAUGCUCAAUUGAAGCUCAGAAGAAACAAGACAUUCCAUUAAAUACCAAAUUUACAUUUUAAAAAUUUAUAUAUGACAGAAGAAUGCAUUACAAUUCUUAUUACAUAUAAAGCACAAUUUUUCAUAUCUCUGGUUGUAAACAUAGUAUAUUCACACCAAUUCGUGUCUUCAUACAUGUACCUUGGAUAGUAAUGAUCAUCAUAUUCCACCAUCAUUAAUAACCCCCAUGCCCCCUCCCUUUCCCUCCAACUCCUCUGCCAUAUCUCGAGUUUGUCUAUUCCUCCCAUGUUUCACCUCCCUAUCCACUAGGAAUCAUCCUCCUUAUAUCAAAGAAAACAUUUGGCAUUUGGUUUUGGGGGAUUGGCUAGUUUCACUUAGCAUUAUCUUCUCUAACUCAUUCCAUUUACCUGCAAAUGCCAUGAUUUUAUUCUCUUUUAUUGCUGAGUAAGAUGAUGACAGAAUUAAAAAAUGUAAAUCAUAAAUUUAGUGAUUAGAAAAGUAAAAACCUAAUAUACAAAGUAUAAUUCUAUUCUAACAGUUGUGGGAGUUUCUAAAUGAAUGAUUUCUGAGAAAAAAAGCCGUGCAACAUUAUUCACAAUUUGAUCAAGUAAAUAAAUGUAAAAACACACUAAAAAAUAAAAACUCUGGAAGUGUUAUAGAAUUGUAUGUUUCAAUUUUCUGACGAUGGACAACAAAUUCUAAAACUAUAUUAAUUACUCUAAAACCAUUGUCCAAUAGAAACAUGCCAAUUAUAUCUCCAGUCUAAUAUACUUGUGUAUCAGAAUAUGAAAAAGCACAUACAAUAAAAACUGGACUAAUAUAAUUUGUGAAUCAAAACAUGUAAAUUCUAAUAGAAUUAAGAAGUGUAUUAUUAGCUAUUUUUAUCAAUUUAAUCAGGUGUUUAUCAAAUGGUGUUUAGUAAUAGAUAUUAUUAUUUUUAUAUAUGUAUAUGUUUAUGUGCAUAUUUAAAAGCAAUAUGUAUCUAUUAUAUAGUAACCUAGACAUGAACGUUUAUUAGAAUGAAAAGCAAGUCAUUCCAAAUUCUUAUCUUCUAAUGCCUCUUGUGAAUGAGAUAUGAAAGUAGCUACUGUCUAAUAUCUUCAACUUGUGUAUGUUUUGCAUAUAUUUUUAAAAAAUUAAAUAAUGGC